GGAGCAGUGCCCGAAACAAAGGAUCACUUUGAUAGAGUGAAUUAUGGGGGUUAAAAUCCCCCCUUCUCCU
rnacentral:tRNA from 2 species